rnacentral:rRNA from 1 species
AAGAACCCCGGGAGGGGAGUGAAAUAGAUCCUGAAACCGCAUACAUACAAACAGUAGGAGCCCGCAAGGGUGACUGCGUACCUUUUGCAUAAUGGGUCAGCGACUUACGUUCAAUGGCAAGCUUAACCGAGUAGGGGAGGCGCAGCGAAAGCGAGUCCGAACAGGGCGACAUGAGUCGUUGGGCGUAGACCCGAAACCAGAUGAUCUAUCCAUGGCCAGGCUGAAGGUGUGGUAACACACACUGGAGGGCCGAACCGACUAGUGUUGCAAAAUUAGCGGAUGAGCUGUGGAUAGGGGUGAAAGGCUAAACAAAUCUGGAGAUAGCUGGUUCUCCCCGAAAACUAUUGAGGUAGUGCCUCGUGUAUGGCUCCAGGGGGUAGAGCACUGUUAUGGCUAGGGGGACAUGGCGUCUUACCAAACCAUGGCAAACUCCGAAUACUUGGAAGUCUGAGCACGGGAGACAGAGCACCGGGUGCUAACGUCCGGACUCAAAAGGGAAACAACCCAGACCGCCGGCUAAGGUCCCUAAUAUUGACUAAGUGGAAAACGAAGUGGGAAGGCUAAGACAGUCAGGAAGUUGGCUUAGAAGCAGCCAUCCUUCAAAGAAAGCGUAAUAGCUCACUGAUCGAGUCUUCCUGCGCGGAAGAUGUAACGGGGCUAAGUCAAUAACCGAAGCCGCGGAUUCGCAGCAAUGCGAGUGGUAGGGGAGCGUUCUGUAAGCCUGCGAAGGCGGAUCUGCGAGGACCGCUGGAGGUAUCAGAAGUGCGAAUGCUGACAUGAGUAACGUUAAAGCGGGUGAAAAGCCCGCUCGCCGCAAGCCCAAGGUUUCCUGCUCUACGUUCAUCGGAGCAGGGUGAGUCGGCCCCUAAGGUCAGGCUGAGAAGCGUAGCUGAUGGGAAGCUGGUUAAUAUUCCAGCACCGAUUUCAAGUGCGAAGGGGGGACGGAGUCCUGAAGGUCAUCCGGGUGUUGGAUAUCCCGGUUUACGAGCGUAGGAGGUUGACAGGCAAAUCCGUCAACGGAUCUCCAAGGCGAAGGAUCGAGGUUGAGAGAUCAACUGAAGUGACUGAAUGGGCUUCCAGGAAAAGCCUCUAAGCAUCAGCUUGGAAUUGACCGUACCGCAAACCGACACUGGUGGGCGAGCUGAAUAUGCUCAGGCGCUUGAGAGAACUCAGGAGAAGGAACUCGGCAAAUUGACACCGUAACUUCGGGAUAAGGUGUGCCUUUGUAGUGUGAAGGGAGAAACACCCCGAGCAUGAAGAGGCCUCAGAGAAUCGGUGGCUGCAACUGUUUACUAAAAACACAGCACUCUGCAAAGAUGAAAGUCGACGUAUAGGGUGUGAUGCCUGCCCGGUGCUGGAAGAUUAAUUGAUGGGGUGCAAGCUCCUGAUCGAAGUCCCAGUAAACGGCGGCCGUAACUAUAACGGUCCUAAGGUAGCGAAAUUCCUUGUCGGGCAAGUUCCGACCUGCACGAAUGGCAUAAUGAUGGCCACACUGUCUCCUCCUGAGACUCAGUGAAGUUGAAAUGUUUGUGAUGAUGCAAUCUCCCCGCGGCUAGACGGAAAGACCCCAUGAACCUUUACUGCAGCUUUGCAUUGGACUUUGAACCGAUCUGUGUAGGAUAGGUGGGAGGCAGUGAAGCUAGGACGCCAGUCUUAGCGGAGCCAACCUUGAAAUACCACCCUGAUUUGUUUGAGGUUCUAACCUAGGAGCGUGAUCCGCUUCGGGGACCGUGCAUGGUAGGCAGUUUGACUGGGGCGGUCUCCUCCUAAAGGGUAACGGAGGAGUGCGAAGGUACGCUAGGUACGGUCGGAAAUCGUGCUGAUAGUGCAAUGGCAAAAGCGUGCUUGACUGCGAGACCGACAAGUCGAGCAGAUACGAAAGUAGGUCAUAGUGAUCCGGUGGCUCUGCAUGGAAGGGCCAUCGCUCAACGGAUAAAAGGUACUCUGGGGAUAACAGGCUGAUACCGCCCAAGAGUUCAUAUCGACGGCGGUGUUUGGCACCUCGAUGUCGGCUCAUCUCAUCCUGGGGCUGUAGCCGGUCCCAAGGGUAUGGCUGUUCGCCAUUUAAAGAGGUACGUGAGCUGGGUUUAAAACGUCGUGAGACAGUUUUGUCCCUAUCUGCCGUGGGCGUUGGAAGAUUGACGGGGGCUGCUCCUAGUACGAGAGGACCGGAGUGGACUCACCUCUGGUGUACCGGUUGUCACGCCAGUGGCAUCGCCGGGUAGCUAUGUGGGGAAAGGAUAACCGCUGAAAGCAUCUAAGCGGGAAACCUGCCUGAAGAUAAGUCUUCCUGGAGGCUUUGA